rnacentral:rRNA from 1 species
CAAGCCUUGUCUCGUGUCUUCUUGUACGCUUCUGUGCUCAGAAGUGAAGUACUCGUUAAGCAACGAAGUAAACGAGAUGGUGAUGGUGGGUAGAGUCGGUGGCCGCCGCUGGAGUCUACCCGUGGGCCCGCGCGGCGCGGUGGGUAGUGGCGCGAGUGGAGGCGGAGGCGGUGGCGGUGGAAGAGGAGGAGGAGGGCGACGACGAGGAGGAGGAGGAGGGCGGGGAGAGCCGCGAGGAGGAGGCGGCGCGGUUGAGGGACCCGGCGGCCACGGACGGGGGGCGGCGGCCCGCGGCGGGGGAGCGGCCCGUCGCCGAGUCGAAGAGGUAGCAGUGCGAGAGACUGCUCCCGGACAGCCCGGCUCCCCACGCCCCCGCCAGAAAGGCGCCGCACGACCGCCGGUGGCGCGCCUUGUUCGCGCGGAUGCGCCGGCGCGUGCCCAUGCCGGAGCGGCGCGACGGGGUGCCGCGCCAGCUGGGGGCGGCGGGCGGGCGGACCUCGUUCCAGGAGCGGGAGGCGCGGGCGGACGCGGCGGUGGUGACCGAGAAGACCUUGCUGCGCCACCCAGCGGCGCCGGCGCGGUGGUGAGGGGACAACCAAAUACGAGAGGAUGUGAUUCUUUUAUCAUAGACUACCAAUAAUCAAAGAAUAAUGUAGCACCACCACAUAACUAGAAUUAGCUGAUAACUAAAGUCCUGUGCGACCAAUGGUUGGGGCUGUAGCGCAACCUCCUCUAAAACAAGAGCCACUAACCCGUAUCACUAAAGCUACGUAGCGGACUAGAGUAAGACUGUCUCCUAUAGUUGCCCCACUUACGACCUGACAAGAAGUAUUCCUCCAGCUUUACCUCACUCUCUAAAAACCUAUGUACCACCUUGGUAUGUAGUAAACAUGUUAAACCAAGGUGUUUUUCACCCCUAUUACGUCGUGACUUCGUAUAACACCUAGUGAACAGUGGACUUCUUUGUGUUCGUGUGCAGGCAUAUCGUUUCUACGUCACGGAAAAGUUGAGUAUAGGGACCCAACGAUGCACCUUUAGUCAAGUGGCGGACUAGAAGGUGGGCAGGUGAUGUACCUUUCCCCGAAUAAGUCUACCUCUAAAGUACCAGGUAAAACGACCGGAUUUACUGUUCGCUCCGACCUGUAGUUCUUAAGAAUCUCUCUACUGAGUGACUACUCCUAUUAAUGGGGUGAAAUUCGACUGACUCUUGCUAGCUCUUCAAAUACACUUCUCGUUCUCGGACUAACAAAAACGUAGUAUAAGACAACAUCUGACGGUAAAAUCAACCUGUCGUACAAGGCAAAGACUAGUAGACAAUAAUUUUCCAACAGAGGGGGAUUGAUGAAGACGUUUGGAGAGUAGGUCGGUACAGUGUUUUUAUGAGCUGUAAGUAAAGACCUGUCGAGAAUACGUGUCCACAAACUAAGUCUUCGUGUAGUGUCAGUAGACGGAGGUAAUUAUGGAGCGGUUAUAGGUGGCUAGAGAGUGUAGGUUGUCUAGUUGUAGUGUUGUGCUGUAGUUGGGUGGUUCCGAAGAGACGGUAGUGGCCCCUUACACCUCGACGACGACGAGAUGCUGAAUGAUACACCAAUCACAUUUUUCACCGUCGUAACCUGGAACCGUACGGUGACUGUAAGAACUCUCCGUGGACAACAGCAGGUGAACACAGACAAACGCUUAGACGUCCAGGGUCCGGUACUAGUCUCUGUAUAGAAGGGCAUGUAGCACCCGCUCCUACUUCUUCUUGUACUGCUACUCGAAGGGCUGCUCCUCGGCCGCAAAAACGGCCAACUUGCUGGAGUGGUACAGCUGGCGGAGAGGAGCUGUUCACGGUCCCUCUAGACGAGCACGGUACUACUCCAGCAAGUUGGUCGUUUUGUUGCCGCCAGCAGCAGCCGCCGUCCGGGGCACCGCGGGUUCGGGAGUGCCCUGUGACUCCGCGUCCUGGACGUUCCACCAUCCUCCACCUGUGGAAAUCCGUGAGCAGUCACUGGUAGUACAAGAAAUCUUGACCCAGAGUGGGGUAAUCGAUCCGGACGUUCCUCACGUCAAUCGGGUGGGCGCAGGCCGGUCGGCCGCAGUCGCCACCGCUGGUGUCUCAGCCGUUUCGCGCGGAGCGGCAAGUGGAGCUCCCGCAGCACCUUACCUGCCAUGGAGAGGUACCGCAGCACACCCGGACGCCGUAUCGUCAACCAA